rnacentral:lncRNA from 1 species
UAACACACAAACAGAGAUAGAUUAAGGAAAACUCGGUUCCAAAUGGUAAGAUACAGGAAAUUUAAAUUCUUUUCCCCCGCCUACGGCCCAUCUUCAUCUCUCUCCUCUUCUAAUAGAUAAUUCUUUAUUAUAUUUACUCACCACAAAAGGAUUUUUAGUGCCAAGACUCUGUAAUUAAAGUCGUUUAACUUUUAAAAAAUUAAAUAAUAAUGCUUUCACCACCAGGGGGCAAAGAGCAGUUUUACAGGCAAAGGUUAUUUUGAACAUUCUGAAGGAUUACCUGGUGUUUUGUUGCUGGUGAUGUUGCUAGAAUUUCAACAGCUUCAAAGUAAGAGAUACAGAUUCUAAACCGAACCUUUAAAUUUGAUCAAGAAUCGUGUAUAAGAAAGAGAAAAUUGUACAAGCUCCCGUUAACCAGGUGUCCUUUCAUUUACUAUUAUUUUUAGACGCUUAAAAAGAAAUUUUCUGCCUCCCUUUUCUCUUUCCUUUCACAUGUUUGAGCAUGAGGAAGAAAAAUAGAAUUUGGACUUUGGAAUACUAAUCUAGCCUUUGUCUAUGCUGGCUUUUAAAUGGCUUUUAGCACGUGCUAUCUUUGGACCAACGGUUUCCUGAGCAGGUGGCCACUAAGAGGAUGUGAGAUCAAAUUUUUCAUACAAUUAUCAAAUGAAUAGACAAAGGAUAUAAAACAUCUGGACUUUGGGGUAAGCAUUUGGUAGCAUAUGCGUUAGAGAAAUGGAAAUGAAUUCCUUUGGUUAUUGAUACCACGACCUGGAUCUUAGAUAGGACUGUAAACAAUGGAUGGUUUAAAAUGAAGCAACAUGUGGGUGAAAGAUCUUGGUUUAGAUUAGCAGACCUGGUAGAGUUUAAGGUCAAACCCAGCUUUGUUUAACGUCUUCAUAAAUAAUCUAGAAGACUGAUAAAAAAAAAAAACCCUUUAAUUACAUGUGUAAGUGACUUCAAGCUGGGAGGUGUUAAACAUGAUAUGAGGAAAAAGACUAGAAGAGGUGGAUAGAUAGAAUAAUAAAUGUGAUUUUUUUUCCCCA